UACAGAGGGGGCAAGCGUUGUUCGGAAUUAUUGGGCGUAAAGGGCGCGUAGGCGGCCCGGUAAGUCAAAGGUGAAAUCCCUCGGCUCAACUGAGGAACUGCCUUUGAAACUGUCGGGCUUGAGGCCGGGAGGGGGUAGCGGAAUUCCCAGUGUAGCGGUGAAAUGCGUAGAUAUUGGGAGGAACACCGGUGGCGAAGGCGGCUACCUGGACCGGUUCUGACGCUGAUGCGCGAAAGCGUGGGUAGCAAACAGG
rnacentral:rRNA from 1 species